UACGUAGGGUGCAAGCGUUGUCCGGAAUUAUUGGGCGUAAAGAGCUCGUAGGCGGUCUGUCGCGUCGGCUGUGAAAACCCGCGGCUUAACCGCGGGCUUGCAGUUGAUACGGGCAGGCUAGAGUUCGGUAGGGGAGACUGGAAUUCCUGGUGUAGCGGUGAAAUGCGCAGAUAUCAGGAGGAACACCAGUGGCGAAGGCGAGUCUCUGGACAUUUACUGACGCUGAGGCACGAAAGCCAGGGGAGCAAACGGG
rnacentral:rRNA from 1 species